rnacentral:rRNA from 1 species
GACGUAGGGCGCGAGCGUUUGUCCGGAUUUAUUGGGCGUAAAGAGCUCGUAGGCGGCUUGUCGCGUCGACCGUGAAAACUUGGGGCUCAACCCCAAGCCUGCGGUCGAUACGGGCAGGCUAGAGUUCGGUAGGGGAGACUGGAAUUCCUGGUGUAGCGGUGAAAUGCGCAGAUAUCAGGAGGAACACCGAUGGCGAAGGCAGGUCUCUGGGCCGAUACUGACGCUGAUGCACGAAAGCGUGGGGGAGCAAACAGG